GAUGAACGCUGGCGGCGUGCCUAAUACAUGCAAGUCGAGCGAACAGACGAGGAGCUUGCUCCUCUGACGUUAGCGGCGGACGGGUGAGUAACACGUGGAUAACCUACCUAUAAGACUGGGAUAACUUCGGGAAACCGGAGCUAAUACCGGAUAAUAUAUUGAACCGCAUGUUUCAAUAGUGAAAGACGGUUUUGCUGUCACUUAUAGAUGGAUCCGCGCCGCAUUAGCUAGUUGGUAAGGUAACGGCUUACCAAGGCAACGAUGCGUAGCCGACCUGAGAGGGUGAUCGGCCACACUGGAACUGAGACACGGUCCAGACUCCUACGGGAGGCAGCAGUAGGGAAUCUUCCGCAAUGGGCGAAAGCCUGACGGAGCAACGCCGCGUGAGUGAUGAAGGUCUUCGGAUCGUAAAAAUCUGUUAUUAGGGAAGAACAAAUGUGUAAGUAACUAUGCACGUCUUGACGGUAACUAAUCAGAAAGCCACGGCUAACUACGUGC
rnacentral:rRNA from 1 species